GUGGGCUCUGGAGAGUUUAGCACUGCUUUUAGUUAUACGAUGUUCCUUCCAGUUCUGCUGCUGCUGGCAGCUUCAUCCUAUGUGGAAUGUGCAGUAGAGCUCACUCAGGACACCUCAGUGAUGUUAAAGCCUGGAGAUUCUUUAAUCCUCAGCUGUAAAGUAUCCGGUUACUCACUUACUGAUAACAGCUAUGGCACAGCUUGGAUUCGACAACCUGCAGGGAAAACUCUGGAAUCAAUAAACCGCAUUUGGGGAGGUGGAGACAUUUAUCAUAAAGAGUCUCUAAAAAGCAAGUUCAGUAUUUCUAAAGAUGCCUCCAGCAGCACGGUGACACUGAGAGGACAGAACAUGCAGACUGAAGACACAGCUGUGUAUUACUGCGCUCGUGUAACACACAGUGACACAACAAGCUGCAGUGCUGCACAAAAACCUCAUCACAAUUCACUUCUUUAAUUAAAUAAUAACUACAUUUUACUGAGUUACUAAUCCCUACAUUCCAAACACUUCCUACAUCACUUAUAAACUUCUCAAACAAUUAGGAAUAUGUUGAAGGAAUAUGUGAACAUUUAAUUAGAAGAUAAACAAUCUGCAGUGGUUGAUAUGAUGAAGAUUUCUGUUAAGAUUAGGUUUAAGAUUAAGAUUAUUUUUCUGUAACAAAACCUCCCCAAG